AGUCAAGGGUAAGAGCCCACCCCCAUUGUGAGAUGGAAAGGACUCAAGCUGUGAAACAAACAGUGAGUGUUGUUGAUGCCAGGCUAUGCAGAUGGCAUUGAGCUGGGAGUGGAGCAGCCGUCACCAUCAGUGAGAUAAGUGUCUGGUUUGGUGAAGACUCUCUCUGGUAGCGGCCCAGCUGCCUCCAGGCCGGGACUGGUCAUUAGCUGUGGCUCGGUUUGUAGGAAGAGAUUCCUGAUUAGCUAUGGUUAUGAGGGAGACACGGUCCCCACUUUCAGGAGCUGAUCAUAUCUCCGUCCACAUGAUGUGUCCUCUGCAGCAGAAGGUUGGAUACAGGGUGAUGACUCCAGCUGGACACAGGCAGCUGUGCUAGGUGUGCAUCCUCACAGGCUAGGUCUCGGGAGCUAGGAACAAGUAGGAGGGGACUGAAAUCGUGCAGGGUAGUGAGCACUAGAGUGCAGCAGUGACUGUGGGUGUUGACUCGGGCUGAUGUGGAUGGGAUGGGAGAGGGAGGUAGGAAUGAGGGCAAGAUUUCACGCAAUAAUUGAAUUUUGUGUAGUGAUGGCUUUUGCUCUGGUUACUUGUUGCAUUUGUAGAGGAAUCAUUCAGGAGCAGCAUCUGGAGGAGAAAUUUGCAGAAGUGGGCCUGAGCCACCUGGACAUCCUCCUAAGCAGAAAUUAACAGUCCCCAGCUUUCUGCCUUCCGCAUAACUGGGGAAAAGAAGUGGAAGGUCAGAGUCCACUCCCUCAAGCGAUGGAAAGGGAGGGAGAGCUGGGAUAUUCCGAGCAUUGUUGAUGCCAGGCAAGAGCCAUCCAGCUGGGAGCAGAGCAACUGUCACCAUCAGUGAGGGGAAAGAAGUCAAAGGUAAGAGCCCACCCCUGUUGUGAGAUGGAAAGCAUCCAAAAGCCAUGAGAAAAUGAGCAUUAUUGAUGCCAGGCUAUGCAGAUGCUGUUGAGCUGGGAAUGGAGCAGCCAUCACCAUCAGUCAGAUAAGUGUCUGGUUUGGUGAGGACUCUGGUAACAGCCCACCUGCCUACAGGCUAGGACUAUUGGUUAGGUGAGGCUUGCUUUGUAGGAAAAGAUUCCUGACUAGAUGUGGUUAUGAGGUAGACAAGGUCCCCAUUUUCAGGAGCUGGUCAUUUCUCUGUCCACAAGCAGUAUGUCUUCUGCAGCAGAUAGUUGGAUCCAGGGGAUUACUCCAGCUGGUGAAUUUCUUGCCUUUCUCUUGUCUCUCUUUCUCUCCCUCUCUCUCUGUCUCGCUUCUCUAUUGUGUUGGCCAACACUCUUUCUCUCCUUGCUUCCCUUCAUGGUACACGGGCAGGAGUGCUAGGUGUGCUUCCCCACGGACUAGGUCUUGGCAGAUACGUGCAAGUAGGAGGGGACGAAAAUCGUUCCGGGCAGUGGGUGCUAGCAUAGAGUGGAGACUGUCAAUGUUUAUUCAGUCACUGUUCGAGUGGGGCUGAUGUAGAUGGGAUGGGAGAGAGAGACAAGGAUGAGGCCAAGAUUCCAAGCAACAAUAGGGCUGUGUGUGAUCACAGCUCAUGCUUGGCUUUUGCAGCUGCUUGUGCAGAGGAAUUGUCCAGGAGCCCUCGCUGGAGGAGGAAGAGGCUGAUGUGGACCUGAACAACUUGGAUAUCCUUCUAAGGAGACAUGAACAGUCCUCAGCUUCCUGCCCCCACUUAACUGGCUGUGAGUAAGAGUACCAAGGGAAAAUAAGUCACGCGCCAGAAUCUGCUGCCCUCAUGCGAUGGUAAACAAUGAGACCG